UAAAUCUAAUAGGAGUUGGGAUGAACAAGUUAUCCCACUUUGAAAUCAGGUGAUUCUAAUUUCUCAGUUUGGAAAUACGAUAAUUUUGUCGUCGUUCCAGUUAAAUCUGGAUGAAUCACUUUGUAAGAAGCUUGAUUUGGAUACAUAAAGUGGAGUAGAAGCACCAGCAAGUUGAAAAAAUCUCAUAGGAGUUGGGAUGAAAAAAUUAUCCCACUUUCAAAUCAGGUGAUUCUAGUUUCCCAGUUUGGGAAUAAGACAACUUCUUCGUCGAUCAAAUUCAACCAGGCUGAAUCAUUUUGUAAGAAGCUUGAUUUGGAUACAUAAAGUGGUGGAGAAUCACCAGGAAGUUGAAUAAAUCUCAUAGGAGAGUUGGGACGAAGAAGUUAUCCCACUUUCAAAUCCGGUGAUUCCGGUUUCCCAAUUUGGGAAUAAGACAACUUCUUCGUCGUUCCAAUCAAACAAGGAUAAAUCACUUUGUAAGCAACUUGAUUUGGAUACAUGAAGUGGUGGAGAAUCACCAGGAAGUUGAAAAAACCUCAUAGGAGUUGGGAUGAAGAAGUUAUCCCACUUUCAAAUCAGGUGAUUCUAGUUUUCCAAUUUGGAAAUAAGACAACUUCUUCGUCGUUCAAAUUCAACACG